GACGAACGCUGGCGGCGUGCCUAAUACACGCAAGUUGAGCGCUGAAGGUUGGUCCUUGUACCAACUGGAUGAGCAGCGAACGGGUGAGUAACGCGUGGGGAAUCUGCCUUUGAGCGGGGGACAACAUUUGGAAACGAAUGCUAAUACCGCAUAAAAACUUUAAACACAAGUUUUAAGUUUGAAAGAUGCAAUUGCAUCACUCAAAGAUGAUCCCGCGUUGUAUUAGCUAGUUGGUGAGGUAAAGGCUCACCAAGGCGAUGAUACAUAGCCGACCUGAGAGGGUGAUCGGCCACAUUGGGACUGAGACACGGCCCAAACUCCUACGGGAGGCAGCAGUAGGGAAUCUUCGGCAAUGGACGAAAGUCUGACCGAGCAACGCCGCGUGAGUGAAGAAGGUUUUCGGAUCGUAAAACUCUGUUGGUAGAGAAGAACGUUGGUGAGAGUGGAAAGCUCAUCAAGUGACGGUAACUACCCAGAAAGGGACGGCUAACUACGUG
rnacentral:rRNA from 1 species